AAAAACACUUUAAAAGGACUCAGGAAGUGACAUCAUCAUGUUGGGAAAUCAGCAGCACAAACAUCAUCAGUCCUGUCCUCCAGCCAAUGGUUAUGUCAUGGGUCUGACCUCUGACUUUUGACCUCACAGCG